AAUCGCAGUCACACUACCUACCACUCCCUCACUCCUCUCUGGUCGUCUCUCAUUAGAACCCGCAUCAAGAGUCACCCUUCCACUACAUCCAGCCGCCGGUACGGGGACCGUCCCUCCCUACCUCGAGCCGCCGUCGCAGGGACGGCUGCCUCCCCGAAGCCGGCUCGAGGACCAUGGCCACCCUGCCUACCCGCUGCCGCCAUUUGUUCUGGUUCCUCCCCUUCCUCCCUGCCGCUGCCGGUAUUUACUCGCACUAACGGAGGCGGAGGGGCAGACGUCUUGUCUACCGGAUUCGCGGCCGCGGCCGCGGCCACCGCGCUCGCGUUGGAUAGCACCACAUCACAGGCCCUCCUCCUCCUUCUGCCGGACAAGGCGGUCAAUCGGAGCAAGCGGCGGACGGGCGAGGGACGCUGGUGCGGUGAUGAAGCCUUGCUAUGAAUUUUCAAGGAGGGAAGAGCAAGCAACCAACCAGAUGCAUGCAGGUUUAGCGCUCACGCAGAUAUAAAACUACGGGACUUGUACAACGUGAAGUUGGAUCUUGCAGUGCCACAGGACUGAUGAACGUGCGAAGCAUGUCCGUCACAUGUAGGAGUUGCAACUUCAUCUUUAGGCUGGCCUGUUUAUUUUAACAUCCAGUCAAACUCAGGUUUCUGUUGGUAAUGUUGAUCAACCUGUGAAGUAUCUUCAACAUUUGUGGGUGCUGGAACUAAAUUGGUGUCUUGGCCUGUUUCAGCAUAUUAAAAUUCAGUUGAAAUCAAGAUCAUGUAGGUGUAAGUAACUCCAUAAUUUCACCCGCGGCUGAUGUGUUUACUAUGUCUUGAAAUGGUGAAAGGCUGAAGUAUUUGAUUGUUGUGCCAUCUGGCAGCCGAGACUUACCGGCCAGAGCGUUGACUCGAAGUUGUAUUUUACGACGGGGCUUAGAAGCGAGUUUGCAAGCUCCCAAGGCGGCGGAGGGUCACCACGGCUGGGAGUUGCCGUCUGGAGUACGUCGGCGCAAUGUGGCGGAGGGUCAAUCGGCGAGGAGUCGUCACCUCUGUAGUACGCCGGCGUGGCGGCCGCGCAUGAGUGAUGGAGUCGAGGCGACAGCGACGCGCCAGUGAGCCGGAGUCAGGCAGCGUGGUGAUGGUGACUGGAGAAGAAAUCCGUAAGUUGGUGGAUCUGGAAAACUGCAUAUGGUAAGUGUAAUUCCUGGAGCAAUUAGUGGACGUGAUCAGUGGGACAACUGCCGAUCAUACGUGUAGCAGGAAUAAUUACCGCAAUUAAUGGGAAAAACUGCCUAUCAAUCGUGGAGAUGCAAAACAGGGAAGUUGUGCAAUGUCAUUGGAGAGUCCUGGAUCGUUAGAUCAAGUGGAAUAGAAGGCUGAGAUGUAAUGUUCCUGCCAUGUUGGUGCUUUUAUAAGUAGUGGAGACUAUGACGGUCUGUGUGUAUUAUUGCUUAAUUUGUUUUGACACGAUUUACAUACAUUAGCUUCAUCAAGCUUGUUGGUGUUGCGACAUCUAUCGUUAGUGAAGCGGCUUUGGUUCAAUCAUUGUAUUUUUCUUGUAAGAUUUCAUUCAAUAAUUUAUUAAAAGAAGUUGUGUGUGCAUCAUUUUAA